rnacentral:rRNA from 1 species
AGUGAAGCGGGAAAGCUAAAUUAAAAUCUGCGGCUUUGCUGCCGAGUUGUAGUCUGGAGAAGUGUGUUCUGCGCUGGACCGUGUACAAGUCUCUUGGAACAGAGCGUCAUAGAGGGUGAGAAUCCCGUCUUUGACACGGACUGCCGGUGCUUUGUGAUGCGCUCUCAAAGAGUCGAGUUGUUUGGGAAUGCAGCUCAAAAUGGGUGGUAAAUUCCAUCUAAAGCUAAAUAUUGGCGAGAGACCGAUAGCGAACAAGUACCGUGAGGGAAAGAUGAAAAGCACUUUGGAAAGAGAGUUAAACAGUACGUGAAAUUGCUGAAAGGGAAACGCUUGAAGUCAGUCGCGUCGUUCGGAACUCAGCCUUGCUUUUUUGCUUGGUGCACUUUCUGAAUGACGGGCCAGCAUCGAUUUUGACCGUCGGAAAUGGUCUGGGGGAAUGUGGCACCUUAGGGUGUGUUAUAGCCUUCAGUUCGCACACGGCGGUUGGGAUCGAGGAACGCAGCGCGCCGCAAGGCAGGGGUUCGCCCACUUUCGCGCUUAGGAUGCUGGCGUAAUGGCUUUAAACGACCCGUCUUGAAACACGGACCAAGGAGUCUAACAUGCCUGCGAGUGUUUGGGUGGAAAAGCCGAGCGCGCAAUGAAAGUGAAAGUUGAGACCUCUGUCGUGGAGGGCAUCGACGCCCGGACCUGACGUUCUCUGACGGAUCCGCGGUAGAGCAUGUAUGUUGGGACCCGAAAGAUGGUGACCUAUGCCUGAAUAGGGUGAAGCCAGAGGAAACUCUGGUGGAGGCUCGUAGCGAUUCUGACGUGCAAAUCGAUCGUCAAAUUUGGGUAUAGGGGCGAAAGACAACGAACCAUCU